CGCCCAAUAGCUAGCCCACCCAUCAACCCCAAACCUACCCUAUCCAUACCCCCAAACACACCACCACCCAACAAACAAACCAUUUUCCCACCUAAGUACGGGCGACGAAAAAGGAACUAGAAGCAACAGAGAAAGUACCGCAAGGGAAAGCUGAAAGAGUAAUGAAACAACCCGGUAAAGCACUAAAAAGCAGAGAUCGCCCCUCGUACCUUUUGCAUCAUGAUUUAGCCAGAAAACCUUAAGCAAAAAGCAUUAUAGUUUAAUACCCCGAAACUAAGCGAGCUACUCCAAGGCAGUCUAAUUUAUAGGACCACCCCGUCUCUGUGGCAAAAGAGUGGGAAGAACUUUGAGUAGAGGUGACAGACCUACCGAGCCUAGUUAUAGCUGGUUGCCUGAGAACUGAAUAGAAGUUCAGCCCUUUAAAUUCUUCAUCCCCAUUGGCCCAAGGCCUUCACACCGAACAAAAGAAAUUAAAGGAGUUAGUCAAAGGGGGUACAGCCCCUUUGAAACAAGAUACAACUUUCCAAGGAGGGUAAAGAUCACAACAAACUUAAAGGUCUAAUGUCCUAGUGGGCCUAAAAGCAGCCACCUACUCAGAAAGCGUUAAAGCUCGAGCAUUACAUAACCAGCCUUCUAAUAAAGACAACACAAUCUCACCCCCCUAAACCUACCAGGCCGUUCCAUAAAGAUAUGGAAGCGUUUAUGCUAAUAUGAGUAAUAAGAGAGCCCCCCUCUCUCCCCGCACAAGUGUAACUCGGAACGAACCAUUCACCGACCAUUAACGGCCCCAGAACAAAGAGGGAACUAGACAAAAAACAAACAACUAGAAAAUCACCUAACCCCCCCCCCCCCCACCGUUAACCCCACACUGGUGUGCCAACCAGGAAAGACUAAAAGAAAAAGAAGGAACUCGGCAAACACAAGCCUCGCCUGUUUACCAAAAACAUCGCCUCUUGUACCCCUAAACAUAAGAGGUCCCGCCUGCCCUGUGACUAUAA
rnacentral:rRNA from 1 species